AUGAAAUUAUAUUUUUUUUGAGUGGUUGUAUACUGUAAACUUAACGUGACAGUAAGGGAAUUACACCACCGCUGUUUAGCCCUAGGAAGCAUCGACUCUUCCUGUCGGCCUCGACACAUUUCCCGUGUCCUUAUAUAUUUACGAAGGGGAGACUAAAUACCCCCAACAGCUAGGCCUGCAUCUAGAGACACGCAUAUUUCAGGGUCUGUGCCCAUCAUCGGUCUAGAGUAGCAGAGGCCUGCUAGCUGAAGAUAUCUGUCUAGACCUCGUAAAUAUAUAUAUAAAUUUUCGGUGAAAUUUAUUCACUGAU